CCCUCUUCCUCCACCUCCCCCGCCUUUGGUGCUCUUCUGAGCUCAUUAUGUGAAACAUUACACCGAAGUCAGUGUCAACAGAAGAAUGGUGAAUCCAUCAUUACGGGCAGAUGGCGGAGCUGGACUCAGUGCAACAGAGGCAUGCAGUGGACCCUUCCAUAUCGCGGGGGUUAUGGGGGCAGGCCCUCCAUGAUCUGAAAGAAACAUGAAAUUUCUGGACCCCAUGCUUUUGCAAAAACACCCAAAAACCUCUUGUGCCAACCCCACGUCGUACCGGAACCUUCGUGAUGCAGAAGGGCGGUCUGUAGUCGCUUGCUUCACUGCAGACGUCACGCUUCCAGUGCUCGUAUAAACGAACCAUCUGGGUAGUGAGCAGCUACCGAAAAGGACGUUUUCUUGUUUUAGUAUCUCAGGGUGAAAGGGCAAAGGUCAUGUCCAUCCGAGGAGGAAUGAGGUAGGGGGUGUGACACUUGUGUAGAUUUAGGGUUGGAGGGCAUAUCCAUUUCAGUGUAUCUGUAAAUGGUAAAUGAAGCAAACGUGGGGGAUGAAGCUAAAGUGAGAAUAAACAUCCAUGGGAGUGAUGACUUGGGUUGACCUUUGCAUUGCCUGCAUAUAUACGCAGAAACAAUAUGAUGCCCCCCCCCAUCACACCUCAGUGGUCACAUCGUAGUCUCACACAGCCCUGGCAUUUGUAAGGUUGUCUUCUUUCUGCUAUCUACAGGACAGCUCGCCCCUGACUCGCAUGCUUGAGGGAGGCUCCUGCAUAGGCCUCACCUGUGUUCAGCCGCAUGUAUCCUGCCUUUUCCUUCAGCUGAGUGUCGGUGGGAAUAAGGAAGAGGUUUGUAAAAGGAGCCCACUCUCACAGCAGGGAUCAAUGUGCCACCUAAGUGAAUAAGCCAUGUCUGCCAAUGUGGGGGAAGCUGGGGAUACGCUCUCUCACUCUGUUGACCCUAGGGCACUGGUGAUGUUCUCUCUCUCUCUCUCUCUCUCUCUCUGCUGUCCAUAGGGCACUGGUGAUGUUCUCUCUCUCUCUCUCUCUCUCUCUCUCUCUGCUGUCCAUAGGGCACUGGUGAUGUUCUCUCUCUCUCUCUCUCUGCUGUCCAUAGGGCACUGGGAUUGCUCUCUCCCUCUCUCUGUUGACCCUAGGGCACUAAGGAUGCUCUCUCUCUCUCUCUCUCUCUCUCUCUCUCUCUUUCUUUCUCUCUCUCUGUUGACCCUAGGGCACUAAGGAUGCUCUCUCUCUCUCUCUCUCUCUCUCUCUUUCUUUCUCUCUCUCUGUUGACCCUAGGGAUACCCAAAUGAAAUCCUAUGAUGACAUGUCCCAGAGUUGUGAGGCAACAGUGCUAACCAUGACACCACCACAACACCCCUACCCACAACUAACCAAACAAAAUACAAGAAUUUUGGCAAUUUUAGUUUUUUUAUUGCAUAUUUGUACAAAAUUCGGUUUUAUCACAUUGUGGGGACAUUUCGUGCCCACAGUGUAAUAUA